AAGCAUUGAUACAAAGCUCUCCCUUUAUUACUAUAAUAUUCCAAUGCUUUCUUUUCAGAAAAAAUAAUCUGAUGCUGUUUUCAAGAUCCACACUUAUAACAAGAAUAAACAAAACACUUGCAUAGUUUCCGUUGAUAUGUGAUUUAUUCAAACUUGUCCGCUUAUUGAAAUAGCAAAAGAUCUUUCGCCUCGGGUGACAUGUGUACAGUUGAAAACUUUGGUGACUAAGAGCAUGUCCAUUGCAGGGACCUUACAAGUUUCUUAAGAGAAUCCUAAUGAAAAGAAGCAAAAAAUUAAAUCAAAAUUGUCUAAUUAACCAAGGUGCGAACCUUGAAUAAGGUAUUUUUGGGUGAGUAAGGUUCGCUGACGUGGCACUAUAUCAUUGGAGGACCAAUAAAACAAAACAAGUUUUUUUCCUUUCUUCUUUCUCUCCUCUC